UGGGGAAUAUUGGACAAUGGGGGCAACCCUGAUCCAGCCAUGCCGCGUGUGUGAAGAAGGCCUUCGGGUUGUAAAGCACUUUCAGUGGGGAGAAAGGGGUAGUAGUUAAUAGCUAUUAUCAUUGAUGUUACCCACAGAAGCAGCACCGGCUAACUCCGUGCCAGCAGCCGCGGUAAUACGGAGGGUGCAAGCGUUAAUCGGAAUUACUGGGCGUAAAGCGCGCGUAGGCGGUUUGGUCAGUUGGAUGUGAAAGCCCCGGGCUCAACUUGGGAACUGCAUUCAAUACUGCCAGGCUAGAGUACGGUAGAGGGAGGUAGAAUUCCAUGUGUAGCGGUGAAAUGCGUAGAGAUGUGGAGGAAUACCAGUGGCGAAGGCGGCCUCCUGGAUCGAUACUGACGCUGAGGUGCGAAAGCGUGGGGAGCAAACAGG
rnacentral:rRNA from 1 species